rnacentral:lncRNA from 1 species
AACUUGAGAACAGUGAAGCAUACCUGAGCUUCACAACGUACAACAGCCAUCACACGAUCAUUGUAUUCUUCAAUAUACGUUUCUCCGAGCAUAUAGCUGCAUAUGAAUUCAGACAACGUAAGCAAGCUUAUCGUUCAAAAGAACAUUUAAUAACCUGACAAUAGUAAAUUAUAGAAGUACUUGUAAAAUUUAUGAUACAUCCUCUCAGUUAUUACCAGUGUUGGGUAUUUUAUGGCAGGAUAAGUGACUCAUAGAAUUUUACCAAUUUAAUGUCUCUCAAGAAAAGACUGUGAUUUGUACAUGUAAAUAUGUGAUAGAGUGCACGUCAUACGCAAAAUACACGUCUAUAAUUAACCCAGAUCAAACUAUUGAUGCAUUGACUUGUUAUUGCUUUUUAUUCUUAUACUCUAAUGGUGAAAGAUGUGUUACCGUACCCGAAACCCCAAGUAAUUAUAAUGAUAAGAAAAAAUAAGUUCUUUUUGAUUCGCUGAUCUUUUGUACAGGUAAAAGAACUUAAUCUCUUUUAAAUUGGGGAAAGUAACAUAAAAGAUAGUCUACUACAUGUCAGUGGAACUCCAGCCAAAGUAACUGGCCAUAUCACCGAAACAAAGUUUUCAGAAUUUGGUUGAAAUUAAAAAUUGCAGUUUUGGUUAAUUUUUACAGAAUGCAUUUAAACAAGUAAAGACCUUAUUCGACCAUCCCCCUAAGCUUGUACUCUCAAUUCCCAGCUAUGCCAAUUGCUGAUAAUUUAGACAGAAGUCACAGAGCAGAACUUGGGAUGGCAUGGUAUGGCAACAUACUGACUGAAUUUCAAAAAUUGGCUUGAACCCACUUUCAUAUACACAAAGCCUGACCACUGAUAAAAAUUGCAUUCUUGCAUUCACAUUGUCUUCCGAAAAUAGAUAAACCAAUGACCUCCUACACCCUACUUUUGUCUAUCACUUUACACAACCACACAUGCAUACAUCAAAAUUUCAAAAAAAAUUACAACAAACCUCAUCAAAUGCAGACACCGAUAAACGCCAAUGAAGCUGCAUUGUACACAGACAGGAGUGCACACCAUCCGCUCGACAAAAAGUCUGAACGAAAAAUCACCUUUGGUACCAAUUGUUUGUUUGUCAGAAAGGCUAACUCACAAUAAAUCAAGAGAGAGCCACAAUAUCGUUACAAUGUUUUUUGACAAAAAUCAAUCUGAAACAAGAUAUACCUCCAUGCUAAUAAUCCACCCAUUCACAACUUCCUCCCUCAAGUAAGCAAAAGCAUAUAAUGUAAUAAAGCCAGAACUGCAAGUUCGCAGCACAUAUUGAACAAUAGAGAUAAAUACAAAGAAGAAACAAUUCUUUUUUAUCAUUAAUACGAACUUAAAUAUGUUUUCUUUAUCAGAAUCCACAAAUUUAAUACUUAUAAUAAAAGAGUUAUUGAUCAAAUCUUGAAAACAAUAGAAAAUUUUUGGUCUGAUUAACUCUCCAUAUGAAGUAUGAGUCAAUAUCAUCCCAGCGAACAGGUCUGUCCGGUAGACCAAUCCAAUAUUCGAUUGGCAAUUUAUCCUCGGUCAUCUCUGAAUCCAAUGGUUCAUGGAUGAAAGCAUGGAUGCUUUCAUCGUAAACUAUCUGUGUCUCAUCCACCUUACGGUCAGCGUCAGAGAGAGAAGCUAUUCCUUGAUGGACAUAACAUGCGACAACCAGUAGUAAAAACAAUGUUACUCUCCUGCUAUUCAUCACCGCCCGAUUUCCCUCUAAUCUCUCUACGAGUAUAUAUUAUGGAACGAUUAACAGAUGGGGUAUAUAUAUACCUGCAAACCAAUCAACAUCAAUUAGGUAUCCGAAAUGGAUUUGUAUGAUUAAG